AUUGAACGCUGGCGGCCGGCCUAACACAUGCAAGUCGAACGAGUGGCGGACGGGUGAGUAAUGUCUGGGAAACUGCCUGAUGGAGGGGGAUAACUACUGGAAACGGUAGCUAAUACCGCAUACCAUCGGAUGUGCCCAGAUGGGAUUAGCUAGUAGGUGGGGUAAAGGCUCACCUAGGCGACGAUCCCUAGCUGGUCUGAGAGGAUGACCUGCCACCCUGGAACUGAGACACGGUCACGACUCCUACGGUAGGCAUCAGUGGGGAAUAUUGCACAAUGGGCGCAAGCCUGAUGCAGCCAUGCCGCGUGUAUGAAGAAGGCCUUCGGGUUGUAAAGUACUUUCAGCGGGGAGGCGUUACCCGCAGAAGAAGCGCCGGAUAAGUCCGUGCCAGCAGCCGCGGUAGUUC
rnacentral:rRNA from 1 species